UACGGAGGGGGCUAUCGUUGUUCGGAAUUACUGGGCGUAAAGAGCGCGUAGGCGGCUUACCAAGUUGGGGGUGAAAUCCCGGAGCUCAACUCCGGAACUGCCUUCAAAACUGGUAGGCUCGAGUCCGGAAGAGGGGCGUGGAAUUCCCAGUGUAGAGGUGAAAUUCGUAGAUAUUGGGAAGAACACCGGUGGCGAAGGCGGCGCCCUGGUCCGGUACUGACGCUGAGGCGCGAAAGCGUGGGGAGAAAACAGG
rnacentral:rRNA from 1 species